rnacentral:rRNA from 1 species
UACGAAGGGGGCUAGCGUUGUUCGGAAUUAUUGGGCGUAAAGCGCGUGUAGGCGGCUUUGCAAGUCGGGUGUGAAAGCCCUCAGCUCAACUGAGGAGGUGCGCCCGAAACUGCAGAGCUUGAGUGCCGGAGAGGGUGGCGGAAUUCCCCAAGUAGAGGUGAAAUUCGUAGAUAUGGGGAGGAACACCGGUGGCGAAGGCGGCCACCUGGACGGUAAACUGACGCUGAGACGCGAAAGCGUGGGGAGCAAACAGG